UCCUCGCGAGGCCUCGUGGGAAAAGGCGGUGUCUAAACCAAAGCAGCCCCUCGGAGUCCCUUAUUGACCAAUGUAGCGAGUAUUGCAGGAGCAAAGGCCUCCUGUUUCUUGGACCCUCGCCCCCUCCAGGUUGGAAUGGAAAGAGCCGGCAUAUCAUGUGACCAAUUUCCGCAAGUCAUAUGACGAGGAACAGGCUCUAGCCGGUGGUUUGGAAAGAUUCUAAGUCUUGGCGGAAGGCCUGGGAAUCUGGGGUCCCCAAACCCUGGCCAUAGACUAGUACUGGUCCCUGACCAGUUAAGAACCCAGCUGCACAGCAGGAGCAGCCCCACGAUGGAGCUCCUGCUGUCCUCAUUUAGAGAUGAGGACAUUGAAGCAAGCAUCUGGAGAUGGGACAUGGAAGGCAGAGGAUUUACCUUGAAGACAGGGUGCAGUCCUGGGAGGCACCUCAUGGUGGCAACAGCAACAACUUCAGCCACCAGAUGAGUGUUCAGCAGAUGGUAUUGGAGCUGGUGCAGUU